AUUGAACGCUGGCGGCAGGCCUAACACAUGCAAGUCGAACGAGUGGCGGACGGGUGAGUAAUGUCUGGGAAACUGCCCGAUGGAGGGGGAUAACUACUGGAAACGGUAGAUAAUACCGCAUACUAUCGGAUGUGCCCAUAGGGGAUUAGCUAGUAGGUGGGGUAAGGGCUCAACUAGGCGACGAGCCCUAGCUGGUCUGAGAGGAUGACCAGCCACACUGGAACUGAGACACGGUCCAGACUCCUACGGGAGGCAGCAGUGGGGAAUAUUGCACAAUGGGCGCAAGCCUGAUGCAGCCAUGCCGCGUGUAUGAAGAAGGCCUUCGGGUUGUAAAGUACUUUCAGCGGGGAGGCGUUACUCACAGAAGAAGCACCGGCUAACUCCGUGCCAGCAGCCGCGGUAAUUC
rnacentral:rRNA from 1 species